GAUGAACGCUGGCGGCGUGCCUAAUACAUGCAAGUCGAGCGAACAGACGAGGAGCUUGCUCCUCUGACGUUAGCGGCGGACGGGUGAGUAACACGUGGAUAACCUACCUAUAAGACUGGGAUAACUUCGGGAAACCGGAGCUAAUACCGGAUAAUAUAUUGAACCGCAUGGUUCAAUAGUGAAAGACGGUUUUGCUGUCACUUAUAGAUGGAUCCGCGCCGCAUUAGCUAGUUGGUAAGGUAACGGCUUACCAAGGCAACGAUGCGUAGCCGACCUGAGAGGGUGAUCGGCCACACUGGAACUGAGACACGGUCCAGACUCCUACGGGAGGCAGCAGUAGGGAAUCUUGCGCAAAGGGCGAAAGCCUGACGGAGCAACGCCGCGUGAGUGAUGAAGGUCUUCGGAUCGUAAAACUCUGUUAGUAGGGAAGAACAAAUGUGUAAGUAACUAUGCACGUCUUGACGGUACCUAAUCAGAAAGCCACGGCUAACUACGUG
rnacentral:rRNA from 1 species